UUUGUCCAAAUCAAAAUUCCCUCCUAAUUUUUUGUUUUUUUUGGGACAAAUCCUAGACCUUUUCUUCAGCACUAACAUUUUGAGAAAUUACGCUCUCUCUCUCUCUCCCCUAUUCUGUUUUCUCUUCCUUAUUCUGUUUUAUCUCGGAGCCCUGAUUUUAACCCUCUAGGUGUCACUCUCUCUCAAGAGAUCCUACACUUCCUGCCACCGUCAUCUCCAACUUAAACAACCUAGAUGUAUUCGAGCUCGGUUACAAACUGAGAUACAUGCAGCAAUACAAUGAGGUGGAACUUUCAGCUAUUUGAAUGGGUACAAUUGAUUAGCUUUUGGAAAACUUGUUAAUGUAUGUGUGGUGUCUCCAGGGAAGAUUCAAGUAUCUACCGGCCCAAGUUAGAGCUUUUGGGAUGCUUGCUGGAGGCAUUGGCAUUACUCCAAUGUUCCAGGUACCUAACUUGAUGAAAGAUGAAUAGCUUUCCCCAAACGAGGACUCUUUGUGUUGAACAAAAAAGAUGUAGGUUAUCUUUUAACCCUCAAAAGCAAGUUUUAUUCUUUUGAUUUUUUUUAUUGCAGUCCCACUACUUGUCAUGAAAACAUAGAUUGAUAUUUCUAUUACAUGUUUAAAUUAAUUUGUUAUUUUUAUGUUAUUUUUCAUAUAAAAAAAUUUGUUAGGUGCUUGCAGUUGAUAUUUUUGUU